GAUAGGGAAAAGAUGCAAACAAAUGUAAUUUUGUUGAGUAUUAAACUCUUGAAAAUGAUGUUACUGCUUUUUAGCUAAACCUUAAGCUUAAGCUACAUUUUACUAGUUUGUUGAGUUAAUUCAAUCAAUUGAUUAAAGUCUCUGCUUGAUGUCUAACAGUUUAAUAGUAAUGGUAAUGAUGAUGAUGAUGAUGAUGAUCAGAAGAAGCAACAGUUAAACAAAAAAGUACUUGAAAAUGUUGUCAUUGUUAAUCCUACUUUGCCAUUUCAAUUCAUAAUCAGCAAUCUUUACCCAUUUUAAAGAUGAAAAAACAUGAAUCUUGGGCUUAACGUGAAUAAUUUGCCAGCAAAAACACACAUUUUUAAUAUAAUUUUGCCAUUCAUUUGUUUCGCAUUUAUGCCAAUCAAUCCUUUUUGGAUUUAAAAUGAUCAUAGAUUAGGGUAAUUUUUUCACCACUCAAUGUUCAGUUUUCUGGUUGAAAAGGUAACUUUAACAUUAUAUUUGACCAUUUGUAGUGUUAAUUGUGAUAAUAGAUCAAGGUUUAGCUUUAGGUUUUGAUCUGGAUUUGAUUUAAGGUGUAAAAGAUGAUGCUAUUUGAAGACGAGUUAAUGUAAUCAAUACAUUUCUGGUCAGUCUGUUAUUUGAAAUAUAUUUUUUCAUCUCACUCUAAAUCAUUUUUUGGUUGUGGAUUCAGUGAAAUUGGAAAUGUAUUUAUUACUUUAAUAAUUGGGUAAUAAGUUUAGCUUCUGAUGGUGUUAAAGGUUAAUCGUAAUCACCUCUUUUUGUAUAUUCAUUAAUUUAGUUUCUUGACCUGAUAUUGUCUAGCAUUGUGAGGUCAUCAUUUGAAGAUUGUCUGUUGCCUUAUAAUGCUCACAAUUGGAUAGGGAAAAUGUUGUGAAGUUGAUUGUUUGUCUGGUUAAAUUGUUAGACAAAUAUUGGAAUAAUGUCAAAAAGCAUGGAACAGUAAUCAUGUAACUAACUAUUCAUCUGUAAAAACGUUGCAAUCAACCAGAUCGUAAGACUUGAAAUAAAUGGAGGAAACAGUUUUUUUUAUUUUGUUAAAAACAAAGAGUUACCAUUCACCCAUUAUUACCAUAGAAACUGAUGAUAUAUGAUAUUUGGAUAAGGCAAAAAGAUGGUGAAGAAAGGAUAAAGAAAACAAUAAUCACAAAGAGUUAAGAUGAUAAAGAUGAUUAUGAAGAUGGUGGAGAUGAUGAAGAAAAAUAUGAAGUAAAAGAUGCAAUAAAGAUGAAGUUAUGAUGGUAGAGUUGAAGUUAAAAUGAACCAGGCCUGAAAUAAACAACAAAAAAAGAGGGUGUUGAGGGUCAUUUUAACUGUUUGACCUUAAACAACAAUAAUAAAAAAUCUCCUCUUUUUAUUCAUUACAUUUCCAUGAUAAGUUGUAUCUUUGGUUAAACUGGCAAGUUGAAAAAUAAUAAUUGUAAUCAUAAUUUAACAAGAGAUUGUAAUUAAUGUCGUUGGCUUUUUUGGGUUAUUUUACCAGACAAACAUCGAUAUGGUUAAGAAGCGAAAAAUUUGUUAGUGAAAAUAGCCUUAUUUGUAAGUUAACUCAGCCGUUAUUUUCAGCUAAUAUUUUUAAUGAUUUAACGCUCUUAAUAUUAAUAUGUUCAUCUUUACUAUUUUGCUUUUUUUAAUUUUCAAUUGUAUUUAAUCUUAUUAAUUACUGUUCACAAGAGAUUUAAAAAUUAACUUACUGUCUUUUCAUUAAUUUGUUGACACUAUUAAAUUGAUUGUUUCACCGUCCAUUCCUAUCAACAAGCAAGUCAAGCCGUUAACUCAACAUUAUUUCAACUCCUCCACAACAAAAACUAUACCACAUCUAUUAACAUAAACCUGUUGAUUUAAUUUGUUCAACUCAAUAGUAUUUGUUAUCGUUAUUAAUUUUAUUUGAUAACCUUUUCAAGUCAUCAGUUAAAUUAGUGGAAACAAUAAUGUUAAUAAGUCUCUUUUUGAUUUAUACAUGUGAGCAGCGGAUAAAGACUAUAAUGUGCUUUAUGCUAACAAUGGCUGCGUAACCCUUUUCAAUCAGUUAUCCUUUUUGUGUGCUUUUCUGCUUUCACAUCAACCUCUGUUAAACCCUUUUGGAACAAUUAAACAUUAUGGAUAAAAUUGGUUUCAAGUGUGCAGCUUAUUUUCAUUAUUAUUACUUUACCAUAUAAAAAAAGGGAAACCAAACACAGAGACAAACCAAAUGCAGGCGAAUGACAAAAAAAGAGAAAGACUUUAAAAUGGACAAAACGAUAUAAAAUUAACUCACUAAAUCAAGUUUGUUAAUAAUUUAAUCAAUUAACUUGACACCAGACAAAUAGAGAAAGUUCACUCUCUGCUGUUUGUUUUGUAUCAUUCAACUUAAUGGGUUAAAACAAUAUCAAAGGCAAAGUAAUCCAGGAAUACACGAACAUACGGAUGGAUCUGCAUUUUGUUGAAUCUAGUAUUUCCAAUCAAUGAAACAGUUUUUAAAUUAAUUGAUUGGCUGAUCAUUGUAACAAACCUGAUUGUAAACUUGUUGAUUGCAAUUGAACACACGCACAGUCAAGACACAUGUUGCCAUUUGUUGAUUUAUCAACCAGCAACAUGCCUUCACUGGUUCCAAAGCUUAAAGUUAAUCUUUCCAAAUCAUAAUUCAUAACAAUCAUUUCAUAUUGAUUUGAUUCUUCAACGAUUAUCAACAAUCAAACCAUCAAUUAGUCGACAACAAGUGAAGCCAAUAAUCAAAAAUGAAACUUAUCACAUUCAUCAGGAAAUAAUUGCUUGAAUAAUCUAGAUGUAACUGAUGAGAAAUGACGAUAAUAAUGAAUGAUGCAAAUUAAAUCAUGUAAAUUGAGUCAAAAUUAAGGCUUAAAAUUUGCCUAAUUUUGAUUAUAAACCAUAACAAUCUUACAAUGAACAAUAAGCAAGCAUUGAAACAAUACGGACAAUCAAGUAAAUUGUAUAUAAAUAGAGUUAAAUGUAACAUGAAUGGGCAACUAUUUUCAUUACCUUGUUAUAAAAUCUGGUAAAAAUGAA